rnacentral:rRNA from 1 species
UACAGAGGGUGCAAGCGUUAAUCGGAUUUACUGGGCGUAAAGCGUGCGUAGGCGGUUCAUUAAGUCGGUUGUGAAAUCCCUGGGCUCAACCUGGGAACUGCAGUCGAUACUGGUGAACUAGAGUGCGGUAGAGGGUGGCGGAACUCCGGGUGUAGCGGUGAAAUGCGUAGAUAUCCGGAAGAACACCGAUGGCGAAGGCAACCACCUGGGCCUGCACUGACGCUGAGGUACGAAAGCGUGGGGAGCAAACAGG